rnacentral:rRNA from 1 species
GGGGUAACAGGGAAGCUUGCUUCCGCUGACGACCGGCGCACGGGUGCGCAACGCGUAUGCAACCUACCUCUUACAGGGGAAUAGCCCGAAGAAAUACGGAUUAAUACCCCAUGGUAUUACAGAUUCGCAUGAUGAAGUAAUUAAAGAUUUAUCGGUAAGAGAUGGGCAUGCGUCUGAUUAGAUUGUUGGUGAGGUAACGGCUCACCAAGUCGACGAUCAGUAGGGGUUCUGAGAGGAAGAUCCCCCACACUGGCACUGAGAUACGGGCCAGACUCCUACGGGAGGCAGCAGUAGGGAAUAUUGGUCAAUGGAGGCAACUCUGAACCAGCCAUGCCGCGUGUAGGAAGAAUGCCUUCUGGGUUGUAAACUACUUUUAUAUAGGAAGAAAACGCCAUGCGUGGUAAUAUGACGGUACUAUAUGAAUAAGCACCGGCUAACUCCGUGCCAGCAGCCGCGGUAAUACGGAGGGUGCAAGCGUUGUCCGGAUUUAUUGGGUUUAAAGGGUGCGUAGGCGGUUUAUUAAGUCGGAGUUGAAAUCCUACAGCUUAACUGUGGAACUGGCUCCGAUACUGGUUAACUUGAGUAUGGUUGAGGUAGGCGGAAUUUAAGAUGUAGCGGUGAAAUGCAUAGAUAUCUUAAAGAACACCAAUUGCGUAGGCAGCUUACUGGACCAUAACUGACGCUGAGGCACGAAAAGCGUGGGUAGCGAACAGGAUUAGAUACCCUG